rnacentral:rRNA from 1 species
CACGUAGGGUGCGAGCGUUGUCCGGAAUUAUUGGGCGUAAAGAGCUCGUAGGCGGUGUGUCGCGUCGGCCGUGAAAACCUGCAGCUUAACUGUGGGCGUGCGGUCGAUACGGGCAUCACUGGAGUUCGGCAGGGGAGACUGGAAUUCCUGGUGUAGCGGUGAAAUGCGCAGAUAUCAGGAGGAACACCGGUGGCGAAGGCGGGUUGCUGGGCUGAUACUGACGCUGAGGCGCGAAAGCCAGGGGAGCGAACGGG